rnacentral:rRNA from 1 species
AGUGAACGCUGGCGGUGGGCCUAACACAUGCAAGUCGAACGGCAGCACAGUAAGAGCUUGCUCUUACGGGUGGCGAGUGGCGGACGGGUGAGGAAUACAUCGGAAUCUACUUUUUCGUGGGGGAUAACGUAGGGGAACUUACGCUAAUACCGCAUACGACCUACGGGUGAAAGCAGGGGAUCUUCGGACCUUGCGCGAUUGAAUGAGCCGAUGUCGGAUUAGCUAGUUGGCGGGGUAAAGGCCCACCAAGGCGACGAUCCGUAGCUGGUCUGAGAGGAUGAUCAGCCACACUGGAACUGAGACACGGUCCAGACUCCUACGGGAGGCAGCAGUGGGGAAUAUUGGACAAUGGGCGCAAGCCUGAUCCAGCCAUACCGCGUGGGUGAAGAAGGCCUUCGGGUUGUAAAGCCCUUUUGUUGGGAAAGAAAAGCAGCAGGUUAAUACCCCGCUGUUCUGACGGUACCCAAAGAAUAAGCACCGGCUAACUUCGUG